rnacentral:rRNA from 1 species
UGGAGGGCAAGUCUGGUGCCAGCAGCCGCGGUAAUUCCAGCUCCAAUAGCGUAUAUUAAAGUUGUUGCAGUUAAAAAGCUCGUAGUUGAAUUUCGGGAUCAAUAUGUCGGUCGUGCCUUCGGUACGUACUGGUAUCAUUGGUCUCUCCUUUCUGACGAACCAUGAUGUCAUUAAUUUGGUGUUAUGGGGAGUUAGGACUGUUACUUUGGAAAAAUUAGAGUGUUUAAAGCAGGCUUUAGCUUGAAUACAUUAGCAUGGAAUAAUGAAAUAGGACGUUCGAACCUAUUUUGUUGGUUUCUAGGAUCAACGUAAUGAUUAAUAGGGAUAGUUGGGGGCAUUAGUAUUCAAUUGUCAGAGGUGAAAUUCUUGGAUUUAUUGAAGACUAACUACUGCGAAAGCAUUUGCCAAGGAUGUUUUCAUUAAUCAAGAACGAAAGUUAGGGGAUCGAAGACGAUCAGAUACCGUCGUAGUCUUAACCAUAAACUAUGCCGACUAGGGAUCGGAUGAUGUUAAUUUUUUAAUGACUCAUUCGGCGCCUUACGGGAAAC